AGCGAACGCUGGCGGCAGGCCUAACACAUGCAAGUCGAACGGCAGCACAGUAAGAGCGUGCUCUUCCGGGGGGGGAGAGGCGGACGGGAGAGGAAAACAUCGGAACCUACACUUUCGGGGAGGAUAAGGUAGGGAGAGCUAAGAUAAUACAGCAUACGACGUACGGGGGAAAGCGGGGGAAAGUCGGAGCGGGCGCGGAUGAAUGAGCCGCUGACGGAUUAGCUAGUUGGGGGGGUGAAGGCCAACGAAGGCGACGAUCCGUAGCUGGUCUGAGAGACUGGUCGGCCACACUGGAGCUGAGACACGCUCCAGACUCCUACGGGAGGCAGCAGUGGGCAAUAUUGGACAAUGGGCGCGAGCCUGACCCAGCCGUCCCGCGUCUGUUGAGACGGCCUCCCGUUUGUAAAGCCCUUCUUUUGGUAAUGAACCGCAGCCGGUUAUGACGCCGCUGUUCUGACGGUACUCAAUGAAUAAGCACCGGCUAACUUCGUG
rnacentral:rRNA from 1 species